rnacentral:rRNA from 1 species
UACGUAGGGGGCAAGCGUUGUCCGGAUUUAUUGGGCGUAAAGAGCGUGUAGGCGGCUUGGUAGGUCUUGCGUCAAAACCUGAGGCUCAACCUCAGUUCGCGUGGGAAACCAUCUAGCUAGAGUCCGGAAGAGGAGAACGGAAUUCCCGGUGUAGCGGUGAAAUGCGCAGAUAUCGGGAGGAACACCAAUGGCGAAGGCAGCUCGCUGGGACGUUACUGACGCUGAGACGCGAAAGCGUGGGGAGCAAACAGG